GUCAGUACUCAGGACAGGACACAGACAACUCACUAUGGAGUUUGUGCUUGGCUGGGUUUUCCUUGUUGCUCUUUUAAAAUGUGUCCAGUGUGAGGUACAGCUGGUGGAGUCUAGGGGAGACCUGGUGAAGCCUGGAGGGUCCCUGAGACUCUCCUGUGCAGCCUCUGGAUUCACCUUCAGUAGCUAUGCCAUGCACUGGGUCCGCCAGGCUUCAGGGAAGGGGCUGCAGUGGGUCGCAAGUAUUAGCUAUGAUGGAAGUAGCACAUACUAUGCAAACUCUGUGAAGGGCCAAUUCACCAUCUCCAGAGACAAUGGCAAGAACACUCUGUAUUUGCAGAUGAACAGCCUGAGUGCCGAGGACACAGCCUUGUAUUAUUGUGAGAAGGACACAAUUGUUGAUGCCUCUGGUGGCCUCAUGUCCAGCGUGCACUUUAUGCUGCUUCUAGGGAGUUUGCACGUUGAGCAGGGUGGACCUGUGAUGUACAGUGAGAGCAGCUAA